CAGGACGUGGGAAAGCCCGGUAUUCCGCGUGCCUCGGGAGCACGAGAUCGCCGGUUCAAAUCCGGCCGUCCUGACUA
rnacentral:tRNA from 1 species